AUAUGGUCUCUAAUACCAGUAAUUAUAGUAGCAGUAACAAUAUUAAUAAUGAUGACAAUAAUAAUAAUAGUCGCAAUAGGUAUUACUGCAAUAUUCACUCUCAUCCCUUCGUUGGUUGAUACGCGUUUCCGAUAGAUUAUUCCAAGGUGCUAAUCAUUCCUUCGAUAUCCCUUUCCGUUGCGAAUUGCUCGUCUCUGAGAUCUGAACUUCCAACUUGAGCGGCGAUAGGUUAGAAAUUUAGCGGCGAUAGGUUACUACUUUAGCGGCGAUAGGUUAUUACUUUAGCGGCGAUAGGUUACUACUUUAGCGGCGAUAGGUUACUACUUUAGCGGCGAUAGGUUAUUACUUUAGCGGCGAUAGGUUACUACUUUAGCGGCGAUAGGUUACUACUUUAGCGGCGAUAGGUUACUACUUUAGCGGCGAUAGGUUAUUACUUUAGCGGCGAUAGGUUAUUACUUUAGCGGCGAUAGGUUAUUACUUUAGCGGCGAUAGGUUACUACUUUAGCGGCGAUAGGUUAUUACUUUAGCGGCGAUAGGUUACUACUUUAGCGGCGAUAGGUUACUACUUUAGCGGCGAUAGAUUACUACUUUAGCGGCGAUAGAUUACUACUUUAGCGGUGAUAGGUUACUACUUUAGCGGCGAUAGAUUACUACUUUAGCGGCGAUAGGUUACUACUUUAGCGGCGAUAGAUUACUACUUUAGCGGCGAUAGGUUAUUACUUUAGCGGCGAUAGGUUACUACUUUAGCGGCGAUAGGUUACUACUUUAGCGGCGAUAGGUUACUACUUUAGCGGCGAUAAAUUACUACUUUAGCGGCGAUUGGUUAUUACUUUAGCGGCGAUAGGUUACCACUUUAGCGCGCAUGUACAAGAGAUAACAACAAAUGGACAAAGGCAAUAGCAAAGUUGUGGGUAUACACCAAAGCUGCGCGUUGCCUCGGUGCUCAUCUCCGACUCCUUGCCCAUUGAGCCUGGGGUGGGUGAGAACUGUUUACAUCCGGGACGAAAAGAUUGACAGACAGACUGGGAAAAGGAUAGUCAGAACACGUUUGAGAGAGAGAGAGAGAGAGAGAGAACACCAGGGAAGCAAGAAUUAGUGACAGACAGACAGACAGACAGACAGACGGGGGUUGGAGGUGGGAGAAGGGAGAUGACGUGAUGUAAACAAUAAAGAAGUUGACGAAGAAUUAAUUAAAAGAAAGAAAAAGAGAGAUUGAUAGUAAGAUGGAUAGAUAGAUAGAUAGAGAGAGAGAGGGACAUAAUUAGAUACGUAGAUAGAUAGAUAGACAGAUAGAUAGAUAGAUAGACACCGAGACAGGAAACGACAGAAGAAACGGAAAAAAAAAACGCUGGG